UGAGUACGAGCGGCUACGGCCGCGAAGUGGAUGAUGUCAAGCUUCCAAGAAAAGCCCUAUACCCGUUAAGGCAUGAUGGCCUGUACCCGAAACCGACACAGGUGGGGUGGUAGAGAAUACCGAGGGGCGCGAGGUAACUCUCUCUAAGGAACUCGGCAAAAUGGCCCCGUAACUUCGGGAGAAGGGGUGCCACCGCGAGGUGGUCGCAGUGAAGAGGCCCAGGCGACUGUUUACCAAAAACACAGGUCUCCGCUAAGUCGCAAGACGAUGUAUGGGGGCUGACGCCUGCCCAGUGCCGGAAGGUUAAGGAAGCUGGUCAGCGCAAGCGAAGCUGGCGACUGAAGCCCCGGUGAACGGCGGCCGUAACAAUAACGGUCCUAAGGUAGCGAAAUUCCUUGUCGGGUAAGUUCCGACCCGCACGAAAGGCGUAACGAUCUGGGCGCUGUCUCGGAGAGAGGCUCGGCGAAAUAGAAUUGUCUGUGAAGAUGCGGACUACGUGCACCCGGACAGAAAGACCCUAUGAAGCUUUACUGUAGCUUGGUAUUGUGCUCGGGCUCGGAAUGCGCAGGAUAGGUGGGAGGCUUUGAUCCAUUGCUUGCGGGUGAUGGUGAGCCACCGGUGAGAUACCACUCUUUCCGAGCUAGAGUUCUAACAGCAACCCGUUAUCCGGGGGCUGGACAGUAUCAGGUGGGCAGUUUGACUGGGGCGGUCGCCUCCUAAAAGGUAACGGAGGCGCGCAAAGGUCUGCUCAGGCUGGUUGGAAAUCAGCCGACGAGUGUAAAAGCAGAAGCAGGCUUGACUGUGAGACCUACAAGUCGAACAGGGAGGAAACUCGGCUUUAGUGAUCCGACGGUUCUGCGUGGAAGGGCCGUCGCUCAACGGAUAAAAGUUACUCUAGGAUAACAGGCUGAUCUCCCCCAAGAGUUCACAUCGACGGGGAGGUUUGGCACCUCGAUGUCGGCUCAUCGCAACCUGGGGCUGAAGUCGGUCCCAAGGGUUGGGCUGUUCGCCCAUUAAAGCGGUACGCGAGCUGGGUUCAGAACGUCGUGAGACAGUUCGGUCCAUAUCCGGUGCACGCGCAGGAAUAUUGAGAGGAUUUCUCCCUAGUACGAGAGGACCGGGAGGAACGCACCUCUGGUGUGCCAGUUAUCGUGCCAACGGUAAACGCUGGGUAGCCAUGUGCGGAGUGGAUAACCGCUGAAAGCAUCUAAGUGGGAAGCCCACCUCAAGAUGAGUAUUCCCAUGGCAUAAGCCAGUAAGGUCACGGGAAGAACACCCGUUGAUAGGCUCUACGUGGAAGCGCAGUAAUGUGUGAAGCGGAGGAGUACUAAUAGACCGAGGGCUUGACC
rnacentral:rRNA from 1 species